rnacentral:misc_RNA from 1 species
AAUUCUCAACUGCCUCCGGGUUUGCGCCCGGCGGUGAAGUUGGACUUGGAGGCUUUUCGCCGGUGGCUCUAGUCAGCCGUCUGGCCCCUCCGAAAUGCAUGAGCCACUUCCGAUCGGCAGUACAGCGGCCCCGACGUGAUAAUUAUCUGCGCCGGAACGGUCCCUCUGUCUCGGUGGGCUUUACAACGAGAAGCCCGGGUUUUUCGGAACCCGGCCUUGACCA